rnacentral:lncRNA from 1 species
GUGUGUGUUCUGGUCGAGAUUUCCACAGGAGAAAAAGGGGUUCUCUACAUUGAACCCUAGCAUACACAAAAUCAAUCAAAUUGAAGGCCAAAUCGGGCUCGAAUCAAAGGCACGAAUACAUACAAAUGAUCACCAAGUCGAGGGGAUCUAGAGUUUGACUCUUGACAAGCUAGAUGGAGGCUUGGGGAAAGAAGCGGGUCA